GUGUCAUUUUUGUCCCUUCGGAAUCAAGGUGAGCAAAUUUUCAGGUGUGUCGGAGGGCAAUCACAAACAACAGUGCAGUGCCGAUCCGAGGGCCGAGGCUUGGUUUCCUGCCUUGUGGCUAUCGAAAAAUGCAGUGAUUCAGAGAUGUAUUCGACGCGGCUUAUGUGUAUCUAAUGUGUGUGGUUGUCACCUGCGGUUCCACCAGUGAUCAGUGAUCGUACUCAAUGGAAUAUUGUGGAAAAACCAACGAAUGGAAACUAUCAGGAAACCACUACUGAAUGGAUUUAAUCAGUCGAUGCAGCUUCUAAAUAGGCAGCGUGAGGUAUACAAAAAUGGUCAGAACAAUGCAGGUUGACCAACACGCCCCCACACCACACGGCAGGUACACAAUGAUUAACCAUUCUACAAGGGGAAUGAAUGUAAAGUCUAUGGACAGAAGAAGAGAGAGACACAAUUCACAAUUCAUCAAACCAUUUGCGAUCUACCAAGCGCCCUCCAUCUGCGCAGCGGAGUCAGUCAUUUGUUUCUGGAACAAACCACCUUGUAGUAUGAUGUGAGGAAAUCAUUUAGAAAAAAUCCAAUUCACUGCGUCAGCACUUAAAACCAUGAAAUAGCACACCUCAGUGUGGCGGAAAUUGAAUUAACAUGGAGCAUAAUCUAAUUAGCACAGUUUCGUUCAGUGUUUGUUUCAUAAUAAACCAUAUUUAUCCAA